rnacentral:tRNA from 1 species
GCCGACAUAGCUCAACGGUAGAGCAAUGGUUUUGUAAACCGGAGGCUGUGGGUUCAAAUCCUACUGUCGGCACCA